GCUACAUCGCCUUUUUCGUGGUACGAUUGAGAAUUUCAUUGUUGCUGUUGUUAGCCCUUUAGAGUAUAUCCGCGUCCAGCAAGUUGAGACCUUGAGAAAGCUUGGCAGUCAAGCCGUGCCCAGAACUGACUAAUUAAAUCUUUGUUUGCUGUUCGGUUAAAUAGAGAAACUGACUCUUAAUUAUAUAAAAGUACCUUGAAUUUUUAAGUUUAAUUAAAAAACAAAAUGCACACUCUGCGGAC